UGAAAAGCGUUGAAGACGAGGGCAUGGCCCACAGUAGAUUAUUAUUUUCCUUCAGAGAGAAGAAGUCACCGGCUGUAAGCUUCUUUAGGUUCAGGUAAUUGUUGAAUUUCCCGUUGGAGCUGCUUGGUAGAAAUAUCAAGACGUGUCUACGCGUUAAGUAGUUAAGUGCCUAUAAGAAAGGUCAUAAGUUUAUGUAUACCUAUAUCUUAUGGGAAAUUGGGUGGUACCGCGGAUUAAUUUAUUUCGUCCCUAUG
rnacentral:ncRNA from 1 species